GAGAGCGAGUAAGAGAGAAAACGAGUGGGAGAGAGAGAGAGAGAGAGACUAUCACGACCGGACGAAGAGGAUAUAUCGAUCGAUCGCUCGCAAACUCCUGCGAGCGAAGAAGUUCCUCCUUCUCCGUUCGAAGAAGACUUCUUCGCCGGUUCCCUCGGCUUCGAAGGGACGAACGGAUCGGAGAACCUUUCGUCUUCAGGUUCGCGAGGAUUCCGUCCGUUAGCGAGGAUUCGCGCCGUAUUAACCGCGUAGGAUUAUCGUAAACCCCUUAUUCCCUCAUUUUACUCCUCCUUCUCCGUCUUCUGAUUUCUUUAUUUCUUUAUUUCUUCCUUUCUUUCUUUUUUUCUUUCUUUCUUGUAUUUCGUACGUGUAUUACCCCCACCCUUAUACUUCGUCAUUAUUAACCAACCCACCCUCCCACCCAUAAAACGUCCGAGAUUUCGUCCGAAAAAUCGAAAGGAGAGGACGGAAGAGAGUAAUGUGCGACCCGGCGAAAAUCGAUGCUCCACCUCUGAACCUUCUUCGUCUUCGAGGAGCGCGGGAGCGCAAGGAAGACGGAAAUAUCGCGCGUUACUUUCGCGGCUCUCUUCGAAGGAGGAGGAACGUUGCCGUAGCCGUAGCCGUAGCCGUUGCCGUGCGAUACCUCGCCGAAAGCUAGUUCGCCAAAAGCCAAAAAAAUCGAGUGAUUUUCGAGGAAAUAUAAAGAAAAAUAAUAAUAAUAACGAAGAAGGAUAUAGGAAUCAAUAAAGCUUGUUGUUUUGGUUUAACGUAUUUAUGUUCUUGCCGGCGGCGUACGGCAAAGGACGUUCUUGUUUUUAAUCGGAACGCACGUUUUUCUACACGCGCGACAGAGAGAGAGAGAGAGAGAGAGAGAGAGUAAGUGAAGAGCAAGAGGAGACAAGAAGAGAAGAAGAGAGGAGAGGUGAGAGAGAUUAUUCGAUCGUAGCGGGCCCGUCAUCAUCAGUAGUGUCGUCCACGGCGCGGAGUCUAGAGUGUUACCGUAAAGAGCGAAACCGCGAGAGAGAGAGAAAGAGAGAGAGAGAGAGAGAGAGAGAAAUAGAGAGAUGCUACUCGCGAUCCUUCUCGCGAUCCUAUUCCCGUGAACCCGACGUACUACUUACGAAAACCGAGCACGAAGUGGAACGACGUUCGCGAUCGAUGUAUCUCUUUUUUCCGUGAAAUCGCUUCUUGUUUCUUCGUUAUAUGUGUACAUAUAUAUAUACAUACUAUAUAUAUAUAUAUAUAUAUAUAUAUAUAUACAAUUCUUCUUUGAGUUUGCUUCCCUUAUCUUCGAUCUCGAUCAUCAACCACGGGAGAAGUGUCAAGUGUAACGGUGAAACGGUAACGGUGCGUUAACGCUCUUAUUUAUUAUUUCGAGGUGAUAAGUGAGAAAAAGAAAGAAGGAAAAAGAAAAAGAUAGUAGAAGCGGGUGGAUAGAUGGGUGGGGAUGGGGGGGUUAAGGGGGAAGAGAUAAAGUAAGCAAACAACCUUUAGUUUAGCGAGAAGAAAAGUGGAGAGAGAAAGAAGACUUUAGGAAAAUCGUCGAAUGCACCCAAUCAAACACAGGCUCGCCGAGUUCGAGGAUAACAAUGACGAGGAUGAUGAUGAUGAUGACGACGACGACGAUGACGACGACUAUGAUAAUGAUGAUCAUGAUGUUGAUGAUGAUAGUGAUGACGACGAUGACAAUGAUGACAACGGUAACAACGUUGAUAACGCUGACAACGACGAUUAGGAGAACGACGGAAAGAGACGCAAACGUUUGAGUAACUACCAGCGAACGAGUUGGGACGACGUUCUCAACUUCCGAGACGCGUCGCACUGUGUUGUUAUGUGUUGUCAUAGUUAUUUCAUUGAAAAAUUAAUUUCACCGUUUUCGAAACUUGCACCGAUUUCUGUCUGUGAAACACAAAGUCUGAACAACUCCUCUUAAGUUUUGCCGAACCCAAAAAAAGAAAAAGGAAAAAGAACAAAAAAAAGAAAAAGAUUUAAAAAAAAAAAAAAGAGAACAGACUCGAUUAUUUAGAAAACUUACUUUCGAACGUGCUUCGUUUCAAAAUUACGACGAAUAAGAAGACGACGAGGAAGAAAAAAAGAAGACAUAGGAAAUCAAGAAAAAAUACGAAAAAAGCACAAAAAAAAAGAGAAGAAACGAAAUUUAAAACAAAAGCAUUGCCUUAAGGAAGAAGGAGAGUAUUAAUACCUACACCGUCGAAGGAACAAACGAGAGACAAAGGGGGGAUAAAAAAAGGAAACAAAAAAAACACUUUAGACGUCUACAAAGUAAAUUGUAAAGAAAUGACUAAAGUAUAUUUUUAACAAGUUUUGAGAAACUUUAGAUUUUAAACGUAAAUUUUAAAAAGCGAAAAAUGAAAAAAAACGAUAAAAUUCUUAAUAAUUAAAAAUGUGAUCUAAAAGUCGUUGCUACCAAGAGAAGCCUUAUGUCCUUGUUUCAAUUAGUUCGGUUCCAAACCUUCGAGCGGGAGACGCGUUACAGCGAGAAAUUCCCGCGCAGGAGAGGAAGACUGGACAAAGCGGAAGAAGCAGAAUAGGACGAGCAAAGCGGAAGAAGAAGCGGAGGAGUGCGAGUGCGGAAGAAGAAGAAGAGCGAAAGAGAAG